GGGGGGGGGGGGGUGAACAUUCCACCACAAACAUUAAUCAAGAGUUUUUUCACUAAACGGCUUGAGAUAUUCAUCUAAUUUUUGGUAUGUAAGUCAGCCAUUAUGCUAUAGCGUGUAUACUGUUUUCAUUGCCGUCACUCAUCUACUUCUUGUUUACUGAUACUUAGCGCAGUCGACAUACACCUUCCCUAGAAGGCUCCAUCUUGUUGAUCAAAUUGAUGGAUUUAAUUUUGACUAUCAAAAAUGGCCAGGAGCAAUAUUGGUGUUGAAUCGAUUCAUUUCAAAUUUGUGUCUACUGUUUUAACGGUUUGUGAUUUAGCUUGACAAGUAUAAAAAUUCUUUCUUGUAGAUAUAUAUUGUACUGCUAUUUACAACUGUAUACAGAAAUCAACGACUUAAUAAUACUUUUGUGACCAGAUUAAUUGAAAUAAUAAGGUCAAGUAUUGGAAAGACAAUGAAGAUUUAGAGGAGGGAGAUUUGUAUAAUUUAAGUUUUUUAGAAUUGAAAGAAGAUUUUCAAGGAAAGCUUUUAACAUUUAAAGAUUGAACCAAGCUACAUGUAGAAAUUAGAAAAAGACUUUAACAAGGAAGAUAACAGUGAGAACAUUUUAAUAUUAUCUGCCCUUUAUUUAUUUUCCAAUUAAAAAAUAUGAGUUAUCCUUCUUUGAAAUGUUAUCUACCUAAAUACAUUGAUUUAAAUAAAUUAUUCUUAGCCUUCAUCUAACCAACCAAUCAA